rnacentral:misc_RNA from 1 species
AACUCUCAACCCCCCUGUUUUGUAAUGAAACGGGCGUGGGCUUGGAUUAUGGCUGUUUGUCGGCGUCAUUGCCGGCUCAGCUGAAAUACACGAGCAACCCAUUUGAAAUAGACGGUUUGACUCGGCGUAAUAAUUAUUUCGCUGAGGACGUUUUCUUCAAAAGUCAGUGGUGCUUCUAAUGCGCUUUUUAAUUAAAGCACCUUAAGC